GCAGUGAAAUCGAAUCGUUAAAUAUACAAUGCAAGUCGUUUCAGCAUCAAACGAAAAUUGCUUUUAUUUAAAUAUUGUUUUUUCGCAUUUAAUGUGUAUUUUCUUCGUUUUAUUAUAUAUCUACGAACCAACUGAAACGUUAUCUCAUCAUGCUCUAUUGAAGUUGUACCAACUGGUCCAGCCGUUUCAGCUACCAAAUAGAUCAACUGUGAAUGAUUUGGAAAAAAUAUACAAUUGUCGGUGUCCAAGAGUAUAUUGGCCUGCGUGUGCAGAUGAUCAUAUCACUUAUGUUAAUGCGUGUAUUAUAAACUGCUUGAAAAAGAAACUUCAACGCUAUGGACCGUGUAUAACGUAUAGGCGCAAUAAUGUUCGGAAGAUGGUGAUAUACGUACCAUCUGCUUGGAGAGUUGUUAACGCUGACUAACAAUGUCAAAAAUAUUCUUGA